rnacentral:rRNA from 1 species
CAGAGGGUGCGAGCGUUAAUCGGAUUUACUGGGCGUAAAGCGUGCGUAGGCGGCUUUUUAAGUCGGAUGUGAAAUCCCCGAGCUUAACUUGGGAUUGCAUUCGAUACUGGGAAGCUAGAGUAUGGGAGAGGAUGGUAGAAUUCCAGGUGUAGCGGUGAAAUGCGUAGAGAUCUGGAGGAAUACCGAUGGCGAAGGCAGCCAUCUGGCCUAAUACUGACGCUGAGUACGAAAGACAUGGGAGGCAAACAGGAUU